AUUGAACGCUGGCGGCAUGCCUUACACAUGCAAGUCGAACGGCAGCACGGGGCAACCUGGUGGCGAGUGGCGAACGGGUGAGUAAUAUAUCGGAACGUACCUUUCAGUGGGGGAUAACGUAGCGAAAGUUACGCUAAUACCGCAUAUUCUGUGCGCAGGAAAGCAGGGGACCUUCGGGCCUUGCGCUGAUUGAGCGGCCGAUAUCAGAUUAGCUAGUUGGUGAGGUAAAGGCUCACCAAGGCGACGAUCUGUAGCGGGUCUGAGAGGAUGAUCCGCCACACUGGAACUGAGGCACGGUCCAGACUCCUACGGGAGGCAGCAGUGGGGAAUUUUGGACAAUGGGGGCAACCCUGAUCCAGCCAUGCCGCGUGAGUGAAGAAGGCCUUCGGGUUGUAAAGCUCUUUCGGCCGGGAAGAAAUCGUAUGGGCUAAUACCCUGUGCGGAUGACGGUACCGGCAUAAGAAGCACCGGCUAACUACGUGCCAGCAGCCGCCGCCGUAA
rnacentral:rRNA from 1 species